UUGAGCCGUAUGCGGGGAAACUCGCAAGUACGGUUCUUAGAGGGGCUGGCGGGGGCGUAAGCCCCCCUGGCCUACUCGGC
rfam:Beta vulgaris subsp. vulgaris contig159285.1, whole genome shotgun sequence.